rnacentral:rRNA from 1 species
AGUUUGAUCAUGGCUCAGGACGAACGCUGGCGGCGUGCCUAAUACAUGCAAGUCGAACGGGAUCUUUUUUGGUGGUAACACCGGGGAAGAUCUAGUGGCGAACGGGUGAGUAACACGUGAGGAACCUGCCCUGAAGACGGGAAUAACCAGGGGAAACCCUGGCUAAUACCCGAUAUCCCCUCCGGAUCGCAUGGUCUGGUGAGGAAAUGGAUUCCGCUUCAGGAGGGCCUCGCGGCCUAUCAGCUUGUUGGUGGGGUAACGGCCUACCAAGGCUUCGACGGGUAGCUGGUCUGAGAGGACGAUCAGCCACACUGGGACUGAGACACGGCCCAGACUCCUACGGGAGGCAGCAGUAAGGAAUAUUGCGCAAUGGGGGAAACCCUGACGCAGCAACGCCGCGUGCGGGACGAAGGCCCUCGGGUUGUAAACCGCUUUCAGUAGGGAAGAAGAUGACGGUACCUACAGAAGAAGCCCCGGCCAACUACGUGCCAGCAGCCGCGGUAACACGUAGGGGGCGAGCGUUGUCCGGAUUCAUUGGGCGUAAAGAGCUCGUAGGCGGUUUCGUAAGUCGGAUGUGAAAACUCCAGGCUCAACUUGGAGACGCCAUUCGAUACUGCGAUGACUCGAGUCCGGUAGGGGAGUGUGGAAUUCCUGGUGUAGCGGUGAAAUGCGCAGAUAUCANGAGGAACACCGGCNGCGAANNNGGCACUCUGGGCCGGUACUGACGCUNANGANCGAAAGCNUGGGUAGCAAACAGGANUAGAUACCCUGNNNNUCCACGCCGUANCGGUGGGCACUANGUGUGGG